CUAAUCAUGUGUUGCCAGCACUCCCCUUGCAUAGUUUUUACAGACUAUAUAACCAACAUGUGUUGCAAGUUGCAACUCACUCUCUUUUCCUUUCGGCUGGAGAACGGUGGUGACACGAUAGACCACAGUGGUUCUUCCUGGCAAGCGACAACAUUUGGUGUGGUGCUUGAACAGAGAGGCACAAGAAUCAGCUGUGGUGACCUCUCAGACUUGGACAACCCAGAUGGACUGGACUGCCUCUAGGAUCUGCUUGUUAGGCUGGAGCUUAAGCAAAUAGCAUUGCUGGAAUUUUCUGACUGCUGAAAACUAUUAUAAUCCACCUGGAAAUAAUACUAAAAUAUUCUUAAAAAUCCUGCUAAUAAGAAGACCUCUGCAUGUUCCUCCAAGUCUUAGCCAUUGAGGCAGCUGCCGAUAUUGGAUGCAUAUCAGAGGGGCCAGUGCCCAAGAGAGGAAAUGCAUGCGGCUAGGAUGCACCAUGGUCUGGUUCUGGCUCAAGGACCAAGAAAUGCUCACAGUGAGGCUCUCCUGCCAAGAGACAGAAAACAAGCCCCUGAAAAGGAGAAUUCAGACUCUGUGUCCCAGGUCUCCUUAGCACAAUAUCUACUAGGUGUGAUAAGCAGAAACAACACAAGUAACUCAGCAAGCAUUUUAAGGAUGUCCAAGGAAAUGAAUGCAAACAUGCAAAAAGAUUUGUAUGAGAUUUGAAGCAUCAGAAUUGCAGCAAAUAUUCCAGGAAAACAUACAUCGCACAGUCAAAACUCCAUGAAAACCACCCUAGGAAUGGACCUUUGGAUUGGGUUGAUGGGUGUAUUUUAGAGAAAGAGAUUCCAGA
rnacentral:lncRNA from 1 species